AACCAUUCUCACCUGCGGCUAGACCUGCGGAAGGAUCAUUACAGAGAUUGAUGCACCAAGUGCAUCACCUCCAACCCCUUGCGAAAACAACUAUCAUGUGUUGCUUUGGCAGUGUUUCCACUGCCAGAGGUUUACAUAAAAUCAGCUGUUGGAUGUUGUCUGAGUAAACUAUAUGAAUUAUUUAAAACUUUCAACAACGGAUCU
rnacentral:misc_RNA from 1 species